rnacentral:rRNA from 1 species
CCAACAGGGAUUGCCUCAGUAACGGCGAGUGAAGCGGCAACAGCUCAAAUUUGAAAUCUGGCCUUCCGGUCCGAGUUGUAAUUUGCAGAGGAUGCUUCGGGCGCGGUGCCUUCCAAGUCCCCUGGAACGGGGCGCCGGAGAGGGUGAGAGCCCCGUACGGUUGGCGGCCAAGCCUGUGUGAAGCUCCUUCGACGAGUCGAGUAGUUUGGGAAUGCUGCUCUAAGCGGGAGGUAGACCCCUUCUAAAGCUAAAUACCGGCCAGAGACCGAUAGCGCACAAGUAGAGUGAUCGAAAGAUGAAAAGCACUUUGAAAAGAGGGUUAAACAGCACGUGAAAUUGUUGAAAGGGAAGCGCUUGCGACCAGACGUGCGCCGGGGUGCUCAGCGGGCGUUCUCGCCCGUGCACUCGCCCCGGCGCAGGCCAGCGUCGGUUUGGGCGGGGGGAUAAAGGCGUCUGGAAUGUGGCUCCCCCGGGAGUGUUAUAGCCAGGCGUGCCAUGCCUCCGCCCGGACCGAGGUACGCGUUCUGCAAGGACGCUGGCGUAAUGGUCCCCAGCGACCCGUCUUGAAACACGGACCAAGGAGUCGAGGUUUUGCGCGAGUGUUUGGGUGGAAAACCCGCACGCGUAAUGAAAGUGAACGUAGGUGAGAGCUUCGGCGCAUCACCGACCGAUCCUGAUGUUUUCGGAUGGAUUUGAGUAAGAGCGUAGGGCCUCGGACCCGAAAGAUGGUGAACUAUGCUUGGAUAGGGUGAAGCCAGAGGAAACUCUGGUGGAGGCUCGCAGCGGUUCUGACGUGCAAAUCGAUCGUCAAAUCUGAGCAUGGGGGGCGAAAGACUGAAUCGAACCAU